AAGAUGAUCCUUUCAUCUUUUUGGUUUUCGGUGCUUCGUUUCCAAACGAUUAGAAAGGAAGAAACAGCCAUGGUUCUUCUUUAGGUAUCAAAAGAAGAAAAAUGCAUUGAUUAAUCUUUAGACAUGCGAUUUGCAAUCCGUUUUUGCCUCUGUGAUCAUAACUCUACAACCGAAGGCACUCUCGUGGCUUAAGCAAGUUCAAAUGAUAAGAGUGAACAUUGUGGAAAGAGUUGGUACCCGAAGCUUGGAAUAUUAGGUGUUGUGCGAGAUAUAAUGGAAGAGUUGGACUAAGGUGCGCGAUUGUAGCUUGUCAACCUCAAAGCUUUUGAGUCAGAAAAUCAGCUUUUGAAAUGUAAAUAUUGAUUUUCUGGUUUUAGUGAAAAUUGUCUAUGUAAAGCCUCUUUUGCUUAUGUAUAUAUUUAUCUAAACCUAUUACUCAUUUGGCUUUUGUAAACUAAACUUCUGGGUUUUCUUUUGUAAAAAGGUUACUUAUGAA